ACACAUGCAAGUCGAACGGUAACAGGAAGCAGCUUGCUGCUUUGCUGACGAGUGGCGGACGGGUGAGUAAUGUCUGGGAAACUGCCUGAUGGAGGGGGAUAACUACUGGAAACGGUAGCUAAUACCGCAUAACGUCGCAAGACCAAAGAGGGGGACCUUCGGGCCUCUUGCCAUCGGAUGUGCCCAGAUGGGAUUAGCUAGUAAGUGGGGUAACGGCUCACCUAGGCGACGAUCCCUAGCUGGUCUGAGAGGAUGACCAGCCACACUGGAACUGAGACACGGUCCAGACUCCUACGGGAGGCAGCAGUGGGGAAUAUUGCACAAUGGGCGCAAGCCUGAUGCAGCCAUGCCGCGUGUAUGAAGAAGGCCUUCGGGUUGUAAAGUACUUUCAGCGGGGAGGAAGGGAGCAAAGUUAAUACCUUUGCUCAUUGACGUUACCCGCAGAAGAAGCACCGGCUAACUCCGUGCCAGCAGCCGCGGUAAUACGGAGGGUGCAAGCGUUAAUCGGAAUUACUGGGCGUAAAGCGCACGCAGGCGGUUUGUUAAGUCAGAUGUGAAAUCCCCGGGCUCAACCUGGGAACUGCAUCUGAUACUGGCAAGCUUGAGUCUCGUAGAGGGGGGUAGAAUUCCAGGUGUAGCGGUGAAAUGCGUAGAGAUCUGGAGGAAUACCGGU
rnacentral:rRNA from 1 species